CAAUAGCAUAUAUUAACGUUGUUGCAGUUGAAAAGCUCGUAGUUGAACUUUUGGUAGGAGCGACCUGGCCUUGGGCGCAUGCCCUUGUUUGCCGUGUGUCGUGUCUGGCCAUCCUUUUCCGCUUCGGCGGGAAUCUUUUACUGUGAGUAAACUGGAGUGCUCAAAACAAGACGUUUGUUUGGUACAUUAAAGCAUGGAAUAAUAAGAUAGGACCUGGUUACUAUUUUGUUGGUUCGCAUAGCUAGGUAAUGAUUAACAGGGACAGUUGGGGGUAUUCGUAUUUAAUUGUCAGAGGUGAAAUUCUUGGAUUUAUGAAAGACGAACGACUGCGAAAGCAUUUACCAAGGAUGUUUUCAUUAA
rnacentral:rRNA from 1 species